AUUCUUUAAAUUAUCCCUUUUUUCUCUAUAAAUCUUUGUUAAGAAAUUGGAUAGGUCAGAAGUUCAAAGCAAUAUUGUUUGAUCCGACUAAAGUUUGACAACCUCAGUUCCGAAGAGUUCGAAAAAUGGUGGAAGGCGUGUUCAAAUCCAGACUCACGCAUAUAAAGAACUUCACAGCAACUUCGGAUAUUUUAAGGAAAUGGCCCCAGUAUAAACUUCCUACUGGAUUUUGAUUCUUGGACAUGGACUUCGAGUAUAUUAUUAAAAAUCACAACUCUCUCCUUGAACGAUGGGAAAACCUAUACUGCAAAAAGAUCGAGUUAAAGAAAAAUCGAUCAAGGACGUUCUGGAUAAAAUGGAGUGUAAUAACACACCAGAAAACUGUCGGGAUGCUGCUCUCUUGUGGGCACUUCAUGGGUACCUAGUACCCACAUUAAAGUCUGUGCGAAAGGAAAAGGAAUGAAGACAACAUUGAAACCAACCAUCAAAGACUCCCAGGAGUCGUUUGUUUUUGUUGCAGCAUCUAUCCAGAACGUUGAGGACCACAUCCAGCACCUUCAACAAAAAGGAGAUAACGUCCAGCCGUUUAUAAUUGUGGUUGGUAAGGAUGUUAUUAAUUUUAAGGAAAUAUUUUUAUAUUUCGACGGGGUAAAGUUUCCUUUUAUUAGUUUCAUACGGGCGGUCGAUAUUUGUUUUAAAACAUUCUUCCUUUUUAACUUAGAAUUUCCUAAUCCAAGUUCCAACUUUUGGAACUUUAUUCAGUCAUUGUAUUUUGAUGAUAAUAAAAAAUGUUGUACAAAAGCACACAUCCUUCUAAACGUAAUUAAUGAAUAAUUUUUAUUUAAAUUU